rnacentral:tRNA from 1 species
CCCUAGUAGUAUAAACYAUUACAAUGGYCUUGUAAGCCAUAGAUGGAAGUAUG